AACGCGAAGAACCUUACCUGGGCUCGAAAUGUAGAGGACGACGUUAGAGAUAACGUUUCCCGAAAGGGUCUCUAUAUAGGUGCUGCAUGGCUGUCGUCAGCUCGUGCCGUGAGGUGUUUGGUUAAGUCCAGCAACGAGCGCAACCCUUAUCGUUAGUUGCCAACGCGUAAUGGCGGGAACUCUAACGAGACUGCCUAGGUUAACUAGGAGGAAGGUGAGGAUGACGUCAAGUCCGCAUGGCCUUUAUGUCCAGGGCUACACACGUGCUACAAUGGUCGCCACAGAAGGCAGCGAAACCGUGAGGUGAAGCAAAUCCUAUAAAGGCGAUCUCAGUUCAGAUUGCAGUCUGCAACUCGGCUGCAUGAAGUUGGAAUUGCUAGUAAUGGCGUGUCAGCAACAACGCCGUGAAUACGUUCCCGGGCCUUGUA
rnacentral:rRNA from 1 species